GACGAACCGUGCGAACGUUGUUCGGAUUCACUGGGCUUAAAGGGCGCGUAGGCGGGCCGCGGGGUCGUGGGUGAAAGCGUCCGGCUCAACCGGACAACGGCCUGCGAUACCGGCGGCCUCGAGGGGAGUAGGGGCAGUGGGAACUUCCGGUGGAGCGGUGAAAUGCGUUGAUAUCGGAAGGAACGCCGGUGGCGAAAGCGCACUGCUGGGCUCCUGCUGACGCUGAGGCGCGAAAGCCAGGGGAGCAAACGGG
rnacentral:rRNA from 1 species